rnacentral:rRNA from 1 species
AGUGAACGCUGGCGGCAGGCCUAAUACAUGCAAGUCGAACGGCAGCACAGCAGAGCUUGCUCUGUGGGUGGCGAGUGGCGGACGGGUGAGGAAUACGUGGGAAUCUGCCCAGUCGUGGGGAUAACGUAGGGAAACUUACGCUAAUACCGCAUGCGCCCUUCGGGGAAAGCCGGGGACCUUCGGGCCUGGCGCGAUUGGAUGAGCCCACGUCGGAUUAGCUAGUUGGCGGGGUAAAGGCCCACCAAGGCGACGAUCCGUAGCUGGUCUGAGAGGAUGAUCAGCCACACUGGAACUGAGACACGGUCCAGACUCCUACGGGAGGCAGCAGUAGGGAAUAUUGGA